GGAAAUCACGUACCGGCGGACGGGGUAAGCCGGAGGUGGGAAGCGUGGGCCGGAUUUAUUGGGCGUAAAGGGCGCGCAGGCGGUUCGUGAAGUCCGAGGUGAAAUCGCUGGGCUCAACUGGGAGGGGGCUUCGGAGACUGGCGGACUUGAGGAGUACAGAGGUGAGUGGAAUUCUGGGUGUAGUGGUGAAAUGCGUAGAUAUCCAGAGGAACACCAGCGGCGAAGGCGGCUCACUGGGUACCACCUGACGCUGAGGCGCGAAAGCGUGGGGAGCGAACCGGAUUAGAUACCCUUGUAGUC
rnacentral:rRNA from 1 species